rnacentral:sRNA from 1 species
CGUGGGAGUCACAUCUGGAGGAGGCUCUAAUUCCUCUGAGUAUGAAUCAGACCUGCCGCCCAUGCCUGGGGAGGCAGUAGAAUAUCACAGUAUUCAAUUGAUACGGGAUGAAUUUUUAAUGAACGUGCAGAAAUUUGCAAGUAAUAUUCAAAGAACCAUGCAGCAACUUGAAGGUGAAAUCAAGUUAGAAAUGCCAACCAUCAGUGUGGAGGGAGAGGUGUCCGACCUGGCAGCUGACCCGGAAACCGUUGACAUCUUGGAGCAGUGUGUGAUAAACUGGCUGAAUCAGAUAUCCACAGCGGUUGAGGGCCAACUGAAGAAGACACCUCAGGGUAAAGGCCCUCUGGCUGAAAUUGAAUUCUGGAGGGAAAGAAAUGCAACCUUAAGUGCGCUGCAUGAACAAACAAAGCUUCCAAUAGUCAGAAAAGUCUUGGAUGUUAUCAAGGAAUCCGACUCCAUGCUUGUGGCUAAUCUGCAGCCAGUGUUCACCGAGUUAUUCAAGUUCCACACGGAGGCCUCAGACAAUGUGCGCUUUCUCUCCACCGUGGAGCGUUAUUUCAAGAACAUAACGCACGGGUCUGGCUUCCACGUGGUCCUGGACACCAUCCCCGCCAUGAUGAGUGCCCUGCGGAUGGUAUGGAUCAUCUCCCGACACUACAACAAAGACGAGAGGAUGAUUCCCCUCAUGGAGCGCAUCGCCUGGGAAAUCGCCGAGAGAGUCUGCCGAGUGGUCAACCUGCGGACUUUGUUCAAAGAAAAUCGAGCGAGUGCCCAAAACAAAACCUUGGAAGCCAGGAACACCCUCAGGCUGUGGAAAAAGGCCUAUUUUGACACCCGGGCCAAGAUAGAGGCUUCGGGGAGGGAAGCUCGGUGGGAGUUUGACCGGAAGCGGCUGUUCGAGAGGACGGAUUACAUGGCCACCAUCUGCCAGGACCUCUCCGACAUUCUGCAGGUUUUGGAGGAAUUUUAUAACAUAUUUGGUCCAGAACUAAAGGCAGUGACGGGGGACCCCAAGCGCAUCGAUGAUGUCCUAUGCAGAGUGGAUGGCCUAGUCACCCCCAUGGAAAACCUGACCUUUGACCCCUUCAGCAUCAAGUCCUCCCAGUUCUGGAAAUAUGUGAUGGAUGAAUUCAAGAUUGAAGUUCUGGUUAUUGAGAAAGAAGCAAAACAUUUUAUUGAUGAAUCUUUUAAGACACUUCGAUCCGCUGAAGCAGCAUUUGACAUGCUUUUAAAAUUUAAGCACAUUCGUUCACGGGAGGCUGUUAAUCGACAAAUGAUGAUGAAAUUUAAUGAUAUUCUUGCACAGUACUGUAAAGAGAUUGACAUCAUUAAUAAAAUCUUUGUCCAGAACCUUGAAAAUCCGCCACUGUAUAAGAAUCACCCUCCGGUAGCAGGUGCAAUAUACUGGGAACGAUCUCUGUUCUUUCGGAUUAAGCACACCAUCCUCCGAUUUCAAGAGGUACAGGAGAUACUGGACAGUGAUCGAGGACAGGAGGUCAAACAAAAAUAUUUGGAAGUGGGUAAGACAAUGAAGGAGUAUGAAGACAGAAAGUAUGAGCAGUGGAUGGAGGUGACGGAGCAGGUGUUGCCAGCCCUCAUGAAGAAGAGCCUUUUGACCAAGUCUUCUACCGCCCCGGAGGAGCCUUCGACUUUAGAAAGGGGAGCUGUUUUUGCAAUCAACUUUUCACCUGCUCUCAGAGAGAUUAUUAAUGAAACAAAGUACUUAGAGCAGCUGGGGUUCACUGUCCCUGAAUUGGCAAGAAAUGUUGCUCUCCAGGAAGACAAAUUCCUUAGGUACACAGAUGGGAUACAGCGCGUGUUGGAUCAUUAUCACAUGCUCAUAGGAACGUUAAACGAUGCGGAGUCUGUGCUUCUCAACGAUCAUUCCCAGGAACUGCUCCGAGUGUUUAGGUCGGGAUAUAAGAGGUUGAACUGGAACUCACUAGGCAUUGGUGACUAUAUAACUUGUUGCAAACAGGCCAUUGGGAAAUUUGAGUCUCUCGUCCACCAGAUUCAUAAGAAUGCAGAUGACAUUUCUUCCAGGCUGACAUUAAUAGAGGCCAUAAAUCUCUUUAAAUAUCCAGCCGCUAAAAGCGAGGAAGAACUCCCAGGCGUGAAGGAAUUUUUUGAACACAUUGAGCGAGAAAGGGCCAGAGACGUGGACCACAUGGUCCGGUGGUAUCUUGCCAUUGGACCGCUGCUGACCAAAGUUGAGGGCCUGGUCGUCCACACCAACACAGGCAAGGCCCCCAGGCUGGCGUCCUACUACAAAUACUGGGAAAAGAAAAUUUAUGAGGUCCUGACAAAGCUCAUCCUGAAGAACUUGCAGUCUUUUAAUUCUUUGAUCCUUGGAAAUGUCCCUCUGUUCCAUACUGAAACCAUUCUGACAGCGCCUGAGAUCAUCCUUCAUCCCAACACAAACGAGAUCGACAAGAUGUGCUUCCAUUGUGUCCGGAAUUGCGUGGAGAUAACCAAGCAUUUUGUUCGUUGGAUGAAUGGCAGCUGCAUAGAAUGCCCCCCUCAGAAGGGGGAGGAAGAAGAAGUUGUUAUAAUAAACUUUUACAAUGAUAUCUCUCUGAACCCUCAGAUAAUUGAACAAGCUGUUAUGAUCCCCCAAAAUGUCCACAGGAUUCUGAUCAAUCUUAUGAAGUAUCUACAGAAGUGGAAGCGGUAUCGACCUCUCUGGAAAUUGGACAAAGCUAUUGUGAUGGAGAAAUUUGCCGCCAAGAAACCUCCUUGUGUAGCAUAUGAUGAAAAGUUGCAGUUCUAUUCCAAGAUAGCCUAUGAGGUUAUGCGCCACCCUCUAAUUAAGGAUGAGCAUUGCAUCAGACUUCAGCUUGGGCAUCUGGCAAACACAGUGCAGGAAAAUGCCAAGUCCUGGGUGAUUUCGCUUGGAAAACUUCUCAAUGAGUCAGCAAAAGAGGAGCUCUAUAAUCUCCAUGAAGAGAUGGAGGUACUCAAUCGCUGUGUGUAAUUGAAACUACUUUUCGUGUAAGUUGGGUCUUCAUUCGCCCCAUUACUGUUUUUUCUGUGUUUGCUUAGUGUUUUUUGUACUUUGUGUUAUAGCACCUGGCCAAAAACCUUAGGAAGAUCCCCAAUACCCUUGAAGAUCUCAAGUUUGUCCUUGCAACAAUUGCAGAAAUUAGAAGUAAAUCUCUAGUCAUGGAACUAAGAUAUAGGGACGUCCAGGAGCGAUACCGUACCAUGGCAA